UACGUAGGUGGCAAGCGUUGUCCGGAUUUAUUGGGCGUAAAGCGAGUGCAGGCAGUUCAAUAAGUCUGAUGUGAAAGCCUUCGGCUCAACCGGAGAAUUGCAUCAGAAACUGUUGAACUUGAGUGCAGAAGAGGAGAGUGGAACUCCAUGUGUAGCGGUGGAAUGCGUAGAUAUAUGGAAGAACACCAGUGGCGAAGGCGGCUCUCUGGUCUGCAACUGACGCUGAGGCUCGAAAGCAUGGGUAGCGAACAGG
rnacentral:rRNA from 1 species